GACUCUGGGGUAUUUCUGAUGUGUAUCUAGAUGUCUGUGUAUCAGAAACACCCCAGAGUCUGC
rnacentral:pre_miRNA from 1 species